GCCUGGGUGGCUCAGUCGGUUAAGCGUCUGACUUCGGCUCAGGUCAUGAUCUCGCAGUCUGUGGGUUCAAGCCCCGCAUCAGGCU
rfam:Felis catus isolate Cinnamon breed Abyssinian chromosome C1, whole genome shotgun sequence.